rnacentral:rRNA from 1 species
AGCGAACGCUGGCGGCAGGCCUAACACAUGCAAGUCGAACGAACCCUUCGGGGUUAGUGGCGGACGGGUGAGUAACACGUGGGAACGUGCCUUUAGGUUCGGAAUAACUCAGGGAAACUUGUGCUAAUACCGAAUGUGCCCUUCGGGGGAAAGAUUUAUCGCCUUUAGAGCGGCCCGCGUCUGAUUAGCUAGUUGGUGAGGUAAUGGCUCACCAAGGCUACGUUCAGUAGCUGGUCUGAGAGGAUGACCAGCGACAUUGGGACUGAGACACGGCCCAAGCUCCUACGGGAGGCAGCAGUGGGGAAUCUUGCGCAAUGGGCGAAAGCCUGACGCAGCCAUGCCGCGUGGAUGAUGAAGGUCUUAGGAUUGUAAAAUCCUUUCACCGGUGAAGAUAAUGACUGUAGCCGGAGAAGAAGCCCCGGCUAACUUCGUGCCAGCCGCCGCCGUAAGAC